GAUGAACGCUGGCGGCGUGCCUAAUACAUGCAAGUCGAGCGAACGGACGAGAAGCUUGCUUCUCUGAUGUUAGCGGCGGACGGGUGAGUAACACGUGGAUAACCUACCUAUAAGACUGGGAUAACUUCGGGAAACCGGAGCUAAUACCGGAUAAUAUUUUGAACCGCAUGGUUCAAAAGUGAAAGACGGUCUUGCUGUCACUUAUAGAUGGAUCCGCGCUGCAUUAGCUAGUUGGUAAGGUAACGGCUUACCAAGGCAACGAUGCAUAGCCGACCUGAGAGGGUGAUCGGCCACCAUGGAACUGAGACACGGUCCAGACUCCUACGGGAGGCAGCAGUAGGGAAUCUCCGGCAAUGGGCGAAAGCCUGACGGAGCAACGCGGGGUGGGUGAUGAAGGUCUUCGGAUCGAAAAACUCUGUAUUAGGGAAGAACAUAUGUGUAAGUAACUGUGCACAUCUUGACGGUACCUAAUCAGAAAGCCACGGCUAACUACGUG
rnacentral:rRNA from 1 species